UAUAAAUAGGACCACGAAGCUGCAACUCUGAAUAGAUUCACUAUGAAUUCUUCUCCUCUGUCGCCUAGGGUUUCUCCGCCUUCAGUCUCCGCCGCCUCCAACCAACGACACACUCUACAGGAAUGGUAGAUAAGUUGAGUAAUUUUGCUGUUUGGAAGAAAGAGAUACAAAUGGAUGGUGAAAAAGAAAUGUGUAGUUUAGUGUGGAAUGCAAUAAGAUUUUCUAACUGUAACUAUUACUCCACAAUUAAAUGCCUAAUUGUUUGAUUUUAGAAACGUGUUUUGAAAGUUUGUGAUGAGUAUAUUCUUACUAUGCUUUGCUUAAAUAUUAUUUUGGGUUACGCCA